AAGUGAGUGAAUCAUCUUCAUUGUACACGAUCUUUGUUUGAAGUCCCUGUUCUGACAGCACGGCCCGACCGACACUUGACUCAACUCUCUUCAGACGCUGAGCAGCGUUUUGAUAUGCGGGCCGUAACAAAGUUAAAAUGAGAAUCAUCGGACGACAGCGUUAACUAAUGACACGUCUGAGCGAUAUUAUGGAAACACAAGGCAAAUUACUAUAUUCGAAGCUUUUUCACAAGCACAGACAGGUAGAAGUUGCUUUAAACUGCAGUAUUUUGUCGUGGAAGGAAAUUGAGAGGAGCAGAAAACGAAGCUCUGGCAUCAGCAACAGUGCUGAGACAGCACACAGCCACGCUGUUCAGGUGUGUGAAAUAGUGUCUGUCUGCAAGACCGACGAGCAAGAGAACACAAAGACCAGGAGGAGUCGGACCAACGCAGAGCAGCCCUCCCAACUGUAUCCUCAUGCAUUCACAGUUUCCUGCGUUAGAAGAACGAGGCAGCACCGGUGGCGGUGUAGUGAUGUCACUUUCCACUCCGCCAACCAGGGACUCUGCGAGCAGUGGAUCCAAGUUAUCAAUGAGCAACUAUCAUUACUCAGUACGUACUGGUUAAUGAUGCUCUCCAAGUUCAAAGUACAUUACCACAUCUGUUAAUCAGAAUCGGUUUACUAGGCGCCAUAAAUCUGGCUUAGUGAGAACUAGAAUUAGAGUACACGCGUCAUUCAGCUGCACAUUUGUUACGUGAAAGUAGCAGUUUUUGGUAAAGCUAAUUAAUUUUGGGAAUGUUUGGUCCUUGCCAAACUUUCAGUCUUGAAUUUUAAUUUUAAUGGAUUUUAAUGGGUUUAGAAAUUGCUACUUGACAUUUUUCAGAUUGGACUGUCGGAUGUUGUUCACAGGUGUCCUGUGUGAGAAUCAGGCUUUUUAUCUCAAGC
rnacentral:lncRNA from 1 species